CUUAAAUGAGAAACGCAUCAGCAACUGGGAAGACGUGCUGCAUGUGCCAUGGGAGCUGAUGGCUGCUGAACAAACUGAAACCUGCUGUCAUCUCCAAGGGUUGCUAGAAACAUCGUAUCUCCACUACAAGCCUUGAUCUAGCCAGGUUUACCAUGGCAUGACGUCUCCAAAGGCAACAUGAUACAGGCUCUCCAGUGGACAUCGGUGAGCCCUGUCCUUGCAGUGUGGGUUCCCUGCUGGUGGCACCGGAUCAGCCGUGUGGCAGCAAUGGGGACGACCCUCCCUGGAGGCUGCCCUGGAGAGGCUGGGAGGAGCCCAGCUCACCUGGGAGCGAUUUGCAACAUGCAAAGCCACUUUAAUUUGACUCGAGAGGCCAGAAAACAGGAUGCUCUGGCCCAUCCCCAUCCCCAGCAUGCCCGCAGAAAGCUUUUGGUCCAGCUGCCGUGGCGUGACACGGAUGGGAUGACACCAUGCAAGUCAGAAGGCAAGAAACCUGAGUGCACUAACGGGCAGCGGCUGGUGCUGCAGUAAAAGGCUGAGGUUGGCAGUGGAGGCUGCAAGCGGGUCGGCUCUUACCUGACCACCUGCAAAAAUGACAGGGGUGGAGGCGGGCUUUGGGCGGUAGGGAAUGGUGGCACCUUUUGGUGGGGACUAGGAAAAGGGACAAGGAGAGGGAGAGAGAACAUUAGAACAGCUUUUUCCUGAAACAGCGGCAAAAAGAGAGUUAGAAAGCACCCGACGGAGCACGGGCCUCCGCCCCGUGCCUCCGGGGCCACGGCCAGCAACACCCGCACCAGGCAAACAGCAUUUCUGUACAGGAAGACAUGGGGGAAAUGGGCAUUUAAAUGGGAGGAGGAGGACACCCUGGGGAGUUCCCUGCCGAUGCACAGCACUCUAACACUUCCUGGACCUCUGCUGCGUCCCCUGCCUUUGCUCUGCUCUCCACAGACCGAGCCUCCUGGUCUAGGCUGAUGCCAGUCUGCGAAAAUGGUCUGAGUCCUCCUCAGAUCCCCCACCACGACCCUCAAGACGCAGGGAGAUGUGGAGGGACACGGCGUGUCACUGCAAUGCCAGGCGCACGAGGGCUGGGCUUUCUGUCUCCGGAUGCCACGAGCCUCCUCCAUGCUUUGAGUCUGAACAGGUGAGAACAUCUCAAGUUGAAGGGACCCAGGAGGGCCGUCGAGUCCAACUCCACGCGUGUAUCAGCAGCCUGACCAGCCCCACGAGACACCUGGAGCUGCUGCGUGCCACCGUGAGCAUGGCUCGUGAGCAUCCCACCCAGAUGAUGCUGUCCGACCCCUCUUGUGUUCCUUGCUUCAGGGCUUUGGUUUCUCACUGCCCUGCUGGCCGUGCAGCAGGCGCUGCAGAGCGCUGGCAUCGUGAUCAAGACCCGUGCCCCAUCGGCAUGGGCAGCAGGUGAAGCCCACACGCUGACCUCGGCACGACACGUGGAAUCUCCUAACCACGGUUCUCUCAAUGUUGGUUUACUCUUAAACACAACUAACAGUCCACAGAGGAGACCUUGGGAGAUUUCUGGGGAUCAUGAGAGAUUUCAGAUCAAAGCCUUCUGAUUCUACCACACGUGAAAUGGCUCAGUUGCUACUAAUAGGCAAGCUGCAUGAUCAAAGCACAGCGUGUAUAGCCACAGACCUGCUUUUUCUUUUACCGCACUACAAAUCUUGGAGGGGAUGAGCAAGAAUUUCUUGUGGUAAGAUAAGACAUAAACAUUACAAGGAGCGUAUCUGCAAACUGUUAAAGCUGGGGGACUUGCCAGACUUUGGACUGCAAGAAAAAAUAAUGCUUUUUUUCUUUUUCACAUUGCUGAGCCAGGUAGAGGAGCUGCAACCCUUGUUUUUGGUUGGUGAAAACAGCAGCCACCCAAGACCACACAACACACACCGAGAGCAUCACCUGAAGCCCACCUCUGCCACAAUAACCUGUAGCCACUGCAUGGCUAAACCCAUGCUCCCCUAACAGCACAGCGUGUCCGUGAGAGCUGCCCAGAGCCUGGGGGGCUCCUCCUUGGGGAGCUUCAGGAGGCGCUGGGACCUGGGGCUGGGCACCCUGCUCGGGGUGGCCCUGCUGGAGCAGGGCUGGGGCGGGUGGGCCUGGGGGUCCCUCCUCAUCUCAGCCAGUGUGGCAUUCUUUAAAACAGGCUCCUCCUUGCCACGACGGGUCUGUGAGCUGCCCAGCAAAGCUGAGGGCCCGUGCCUGUCUGCUGCUGGGAGGCACCGGGAGCGGGGCUGUCACGGUGCUGUGGCUUUGGUGGGCUCCUCCUGGACCUUCUCCAAGGCUGCAGGCGUGGAUGUGGGGCAUGUGGCUGCAGUCAGCCCCACCAGUAAGCCAUCUGUACAGCAGCAUAGCUCCACAGCAGAAAG